UGCAGUCAAGGGGCCUUCGGGUCACUGGCGCACGGGUGAGUAACGCGUGGAUAAUCUACCCAUAUCUCUGACAUAACUGCUGGAAACGGUAGCUAAUAUCAGAUGAGGCCUACGGGUCAAAGUUUUAAUGGAUAUGGAUGAGUCUGCGUCUGAUUAGCUAGUUGGUAGUGUAAUGGACUACCAAGGCAACGAUCAGUAACUGGUCUGAGAGGAUGAUCAGUCACACUGGAACUGAGACACGGUCCAGACUCCUACGGGAGGCAGCAGUGAGGAAUUUUGGACAAUGGGGGAAACCCUGAUCCAGCGACGCCGUGUGUGGGACGAAUCGGUUAUUCCGUGUAAACCACUGUCAGAUGGGAAAAAAAGAACCUUCGGGGUUCUGGGAUUGUACCAUCAGAGGAAGGACCGGCUAACUACGUGCCAGCAGCCGCGGUAAUACGUAGGGUCCAAGCGUUGUCCGGAAUUACUGGGUAUAAAGGGUGCGCAGGCGGGUAUUUGCGUCGGGGGUUAAAGGCCAAAGCUUAACUUUGGAAAUGCCUCCGAUACGGAAUAUCUUGAAUAUGAGAGAGGUAGGUAGAAUUCCUGGUGUAGCGGUGAAAUGCGUAGAUAUCAGGAGGAAUACCAGUGGCGAAGGCGGCCUACUGGCUCAUUAUUGACGCUCAGGCACGAAAGCGUGGGGAGCAAACAGGAUUAGAUACCCUGGUAGUCCACGCCCUAAACGAUGUAUGCUUGGUGUUGGGUCUAAGACUCAGUGCCGGAGGAAAUCUGUUAAGCAUACCACCUGGGGAGUACGAUCGCAAGGUUGAAACUCAAAGGAAUUGACGGGGGCCCGCACAAGCGGUGGAUUAUGUGGUUUAAUUCGAUGCAACGCGAAGAACCUUACCCAGGCUUGAAGUGCAUGUGACGAUGGGUGAAAGCUCAUUUUCUUCG
rnacentral:rRNA from 1 species